rnacentral:rRNA from 1 species
AAACUUAAAGGAAUUGACGGGGACCUACACAAGCGGUGGAUCACGUGGCUUAAUUCGACAGUAAGCGAGGAACCUUACCAGGGCUUGACAAGGUAGUGAAAGCUAUAAGAAAUUAUAGCCCAUCCACAAGAACACUACCCCAGGUGCUGCAUGGUUGUCGUCAGCAGGUGGCUUGAGUUGCUCCCUUAAAUGGGGUAACCUGCGCAACCCUUGUCCUAUGUUUCAUGUGUCAUAGGAGACUGCCCGGGACAACCGGGAGGAAGGUGAGGAUGACGCCAAAUCAGCAUGGCCUUUUGAUGCCCUGGGCUGCACACGUGGUACAAUGGGGCCGACAAUGGGAAGCUAAAGAGUAAUCUGGAGCAAAUCCUAUCAAACGGUCUCUCAAUUCGGAUUGAGGUCUGAAACCCGACCUCACGAAGCCGGAAUCGCUAGUAACCGCAGAUCAGCCACGCUGCGGUGAAUAUGUCCCUGGGUCUU